CAAGUACUCCCUCCGUCCGGAAUUACUUGUCAUCAAAAUGGAUGUGUCUAGAACUAAAAUACAUCUAGAUACAUCCAUUUCAAUGACAAGUAUUUUCGGUCGGAGGGAGUACAAG
rnacentral:pre_miRNA from 1 species